UCGCCGAAAGUCCAAGGGUUCCUGCUUAAAGCUAAUCUGAGCAGGGUAAGCCGACCCCUAAGGCGAGGCCGAAAGGCGUAGUCGAUGGGAACCAGGUUAAUAUUCCUGGGCCAGAUGGAAGUGACGGAUCUCGAAGGUAGUUCAUCCUUAUCGGAUUGAAUGGGCUGCUUAGAGGUUCCUGGAAAUAGCUCCAUCGCUAGAUCGUACCCUAAACCGACACAGGUGGACUGGUAGAGAAUACCAAGGCGCUUGAGAGAACUAUGUUGAAGGAACUCGGCAAAAUACCUCCGUAAGUUCGCGAGAAGGAGGCCCAGUUUCUAGGCAACUAGAGGCUGGGGGCACAAACCAGGGGGUGGCGACUGUUUAUUAAAAACACAGGGCUCUGCGAAGUCGUAAGACGACGUAUAGGGUCUGACGCCUGCCCGGUGCCUGAAGGUUAAAAGGAGGGGUGAGAGCUCUGAAUUGAAGCCCAGGUAAACGGCGGCCGUAACAAUAACGGUCCUAAGGUA
rnacentral:rRNA from 12 species